rnacentral:rRNA from 1 species
UACAGAGGUCUCAAGCGUUGUUCGGAUUCAUUGGGCGUAAAGGGUGCGUAGGCGGCGCGGUAAGUCGGGUGUGAAAUCUCGGAGCUUAACUCCGAAACUGCAUUCGAUACUGCCGUGCUUGAGGACUGGAGAGGAGACUGGAAUUUACGGUGUAGCGGUGAAAUGCGUAGAUAUCGUAAGGAAGACCAGUGGCGAAGGCGGGUCUCGUGGGCCGAUACUGACGCUGAGGCACGAAGGCCAGGGGAGCAAACGGG